rnacentral:rRNA from 1 species
AUUGAACGCUGGCGGCAUGCCUUACACAUGCAAGUCGAACGGCAGCACGGGAGCAAUCCUGGUGGCGAGUGGCGAACGGGUGAGUAAAGUAUCGGAACGUGCCCAGUCGUGGGGGAUAACGUAGCGAAAGUUACGCUAAUACCACAUACGGUCUAUGGAUGAAAGCGGGGGAUCGCAAGACCUCGCGCGAUUGGAGCGGCCGAUAUCAGAUUAGGUAGUUGGUGGGGUAAAGGCUCACCAAGCCGACGAUCUGUAGCUGGUCUGAGAGGACGACCAGCCACACUGGGACUGAGACACGGCCCAGACUCCUACGGGAGGCAGCAGUGGGGAAUUUUGGACAAUGGGCGCAAGCCUGAUCCAGCCAUGCCGCGUGCAGGAUGAAGGCCUUCGGGUUGUAAACUGCUUUUGUACGGAACGAAAAGGUUUGGCUUAAUACGUUGAACUCAUGACGGUACCGUAAGAAUAAGCACCGGCUAACUACGUGCCAGCAGCCGCAGUAA